CAGGGCACUUGUCUCAACUCUGCUUGUCUCAUUUUUCUUUUUUUUUCUAGAAAAAGGCGAGCCACAGUCAAGGCCAGAAAAAGGCAGCCUGUGCCGCUGACAAAAGGUGAGAAGGUGCACGAAGUAUAUAGAAAGAAAGAUGUACAUCUCCUGAGAACUGU